UACGUAGGGGGCAAGCGUUAUCCGGAAUCAUUGGGCGUAAAGCGCGUGUAGGCGGUUCCGUAAGUCCGCUCUGAAAGCCCCAGGGCUCAACCCUGGGAGGCGGGUGGAUACUACGGAACUGGAGUACGGAAGAGGAGAUUGGAAUUCCUGGUGUAGCGGUGAAAUGCGCAGAUAUCAGGAGGAGACCUGUGGUGUAGACGGCUUUCUGGACCAUAACUGACGCUGAGACACGAAAGCGUGGGUAGCAAACAGG
rnacentral:rRNA from 1 species